CUAGUAGCUCAAGCCUCCCUUGAGGUUGAAUGCAGGUAUAGUUAAAUGCAGAAACAGAUUCAGUGGAUAGUGUUGGUCUAAAAUUAAAAAAAAAAAUCCCCCCAAUACUGUACGUGUGCACUAGGAAAGAAAUCUCCACAGAUGACUCCUCCUAAGAGCUGCAAAUAUUGUAGGGUCUGUGUGUGUUUGGUUGGUUUUGAUGCCUUGGACUGGCUACGUGGAACAGAGGCUAGACAGAGUUAGAGAUUAAAGCAGCAUAUCUUUGGUCUGGAUGGCUGCAUACCUGCAUGAGUGGAAGAGCUGGAGGAGGAUGGAAAACACAGAGUGCCCAGGGAAGAAGAUAGAACAUCUCCUCCAGCAACUCAGAAGAGAAAGGUUAAAAGCUGACUGACUUUAUAUGGAACAGAAUCACAGACUCCGAGAAUUAACAAGAAAUCCCUGUUUGAACAAAAUUUCUGAGGCACAUCAUACGAAUCCCUCUGGGGAAAGUGAGUCAUCAGGACCUGAACUAAACUGCAAAAGGAAGAAAUCUUUCCCAAACUACUUGGGGAAGGAGCUGCUUGAAUUUGCUCUCUGGUAGAGACUACUUCAGAAGUUUCCUCCCAUAUUUGUCCAAACUAGCAUAUUUGGCCUCAACUGUAUAAAAUCCCAAGGCAUUAAUUUUGUCAGUGAUUCACAACAAACUUCAUUAUCCUGAAAAUUGCAUUAAAAACUAUGAUUAUGACCAUUAAAAAAAUCAAAAAUUAAUAAUUAUUGAGUCCUUUCUAUGAAUAAAACCCCAAGUUUAUGAUUCCAAAGAAAAAGUGCCUUGGGAAAAUAGGAAUAGAAGAUGAUGGUAAACUGAAAUUCCUGGGCUUCACAAAUCUGUUUCUGUGUGUCACUUCCUUGAAAUUUUUCAGGGAGAAGACCUUUGCCUGGUUUUUGGUAGCUGGGUGCCAAGAAUGUGGCUUUUCUGAGAAGCUGCUGGAAACUUCCACCAUGUCUGGCAGAGCCAAUUCCUGAUGACUCUGAAGAUGGACAGGCUGCUGGCCAAAGCUGGGCCAACUAGAGAUGAUGGUAAUGCCUCUGUGAUAACAAAUUUAAGAAGGUACUUAUAGAACAUAUGUCCCUAGCCAGGGAAGAGAACAUGUGAGGGAAACCACAUGGAGACACCAAGGUCAGUGGAGAAGAAGGGGCAGAAGGUGCUCCUGGCGCCAGAGCCAAGAUUCCUCUACAGUCCGUGGUGAGACCAUGGUGAAGCAGCUGUGCCCCUGGAGCCAUGGGGAUCCAUAAAGGAUGCAGAGAUCCACCUGCAGGCUGUGGGGGAGGUGCCAAGUCUGGAGUGGGUUGAUGCCUGGAGGAGGCUGUGAACCAGUGGGCGACCUAUGUAGAGAGAGGGCCCCUGCUUCCAGUCUGGAACAGCCUGUCCUUGGAGGACUGCACAUUGUGGAAGAGUGACCCACAACAGCAGUUUUGGAAGAACUGUGUGCCUGUGGGAGGGACUCAUGUUGUGGCAAUUUUUGGCAGGACUGCUGCUUGUGAGACUGGAACCACGUGGGAGAAGUUCACAGAGAACUGUCUCCCAUGGGAGAGAACACAUGGUGCAGCAGGGGAAGGACUCCUCUCCCUGGGCAGUGAAAGAAAACCUUGGAUGAUGAAGUGACCAAAACCCCCAUGCCCUGUCUACCUGUACUGUCAGUGGGAAGGAGGGAGAGUUUGGGAGUAAAAAGGUGUUUUUAAGGGGAUAUUUUGCUUCUCAU